rnacentral:lncRNA from 1 species
CGGGUGAAGUGCAUUUCCUGUGACAGACCAGUGAUGAUGACAACUGGGCCGCACCUGGUAACAGUCCGAAAGGCAAGGUUGUACUCCCGGACGCGCCCAGCCAGUGCCAACGGUUAUGAGUACCUAGCACAGAAACAGCAGAUGAGGGAACAAGCUCUGGAGAAGAAGGACAGGAGUGAAACAACCAGCCAUGAGCAGCAGUCCUCGCAGCACUGCUGGCAGUGCCAAGCUCAUGCCACUUACCCUGCUGAGCAAUAUUCCAGUCCAAAG